rnacentral:rRNA from 1 species
CCUCGUGGGCAGCAGUGGGGAAUAUUGGACAAUGGGCGAAAGCCUGAUCCAGCCAUGCCGCGUGUGUGAAGAAGGCCUUCGGGUUGUAAAGCACUUUCAGUGGGGAAGAAAGCCUUGGGGCUAAUACCCUCGAGGAAGGACAUCACCCACAGAAGAAGCACCGGCUAACUCCGUGCCAGCAGCCGCGGUAAUACGGAGGGUGCGAGCGUUAAUCGGAAUUACUGGGCGUAAAGCGCGCGUAGGCGGUCUGAUAAGCCGGUUGUGAAAGCCCCGGGCUCAACCUGGGAACGGCAUCCGGAACUGUCAGGCUAGAGUGCAGGAGAGGAAGGUAGAAUUCCCGGUGUAGCGGUGAAAUGCGUAGAGAUCGGGAGGAAUACCAGUGGCGAAGGCGGCCUUCUGGACUGACACUGACGCUGAGGUGCGAAAGCGUGGGUAGCAAACAGGAUUAGAUACCCCAGUAGUC